GACGAACGCUGGCGGCGUGCUUAACACAUGCAAGUCGAACGGAAAGGCCCUGCUUUUGUGGGGUGCUCGAGUGGCGAACGGGUGAGUAACACGUGAGUAACCUGCCCUUGACUUUGGGAUAACUUCAGGAAACUGGGGCUAAUACCGGAUAGGAGCUCCUGCUGCAUGGUGGGGGUUGGAAAGUUUCGGCGGUUGGGGAUGGACUCGCGGCUUAUCAGCUUGUUGGUGGGGUAGUGGCUUACCAAGGCUUUGACGGGUAGCCGGCCUGAGAGGGUGACCGGCCAAAUUGGGACGGAGAUACGGCCCAGACUCCUACGGGAGGCAGCAGUGGGGAAUAUUGCACAAUGGGCGGAAGCCUGAUGCAGCAACGCCGCGUGCGGGAUGACGGCCUUCGGGUUGUAAACCGCUUUCGCCUGUGACGAAGCGUGAGUGACGGUAAUGGGUAAAGAAGCACCGGCUAACUACGUG
rnacentral:rRNA from 1 species